UACAGAGGUCCCAAGCGUUGUUCGGAUUCAUUGGGCGUAAAGGGUGCGUAGGCGGCGCGGUAAGUCGGGUGUGAAAUCUCGGAGCUUAACUCCGAAACUGCAUUCGAUACUGCCGUGCUUGAGGACUGGAGAGGAGACUGGAAUUUACGGUGUAGCGGUGAAAUGCGUAGAUAUCGUAAGGAAGACCAGUGGCGAAGGCAGCUCGCUGGGACGGUACUGACGCUGAGGCGCGAAAUCGUGGGGAGCGAACAGG
rnacentral:rRNA from 1 species